CACUGGAAAGAGCAGGCAGUAUUGGCAGCAGGCAGGCUGGUAGUUUGCAUGGAGAUCACGAAGUCUUUCUUUCCUGAGUAUUCUGGGAGAAAAGCAAGAAUAGCUCCGAAAACCUGGUGUCAUUCCUCCCCUGGAAUGAAUGACUGGAAGGAAUGAGGGUGUUACACAUGAAGCAGAUCGCAAGUGCAAAAUAUGCAUUUGUGCUUAAUGCAAACCUAACACAAUUCCUGUCACAUUGUAUCUAAAAGGACUGCAUAGCUACAGCUAAUAAGAGAGCAACAGCAAGGCAAAGUAAAGAAGGAGAGGCACAGACUACGGCUGCAUACAACUGUCUGUAUAUAAACUCAUUAUGUGAAUCUAAUAUUUUUGUGGAACAUGCUAUAUAAGAACAUGAGAACGGCCAACCUGGGUCAGACCAAAGGUCCAUGUAGCCCAGUAUCCUGUCUUCCAACAGUGGCCAAUGCCAGGUGCCCCAGAGGGAAUGAACAGAACAGUUAUCUAUGAUGACACCAAUGAAAAGGUUCAAAGUGAAGAAUGACCCAAAGAUGAUAAAGAUGACAAAGUAAAGAUACAUAUACAGGCUUUCUUCAUACUUGGGCUGCUGGUCUAUCUACAAAAUAAGGAGAAAUAGCAAAACGUCAGCACUAAAUAAUAAGAGACCAAUUGUCUGAAGAGGAUGUUUCUAAUGCCUCCUAAAAUUCUGCAAUUAUUUGUGUGUUUUAAUGGACACCAGGUACACAAAGCAGGUGUACUCCCCAUCCUACAAGGUUUGCAUCUGUUAUGAGAAUUCUGGUCCAGUUGCAGCUGAAGACUCCAUUAUCCUUUUGGUUCAACAGUGAGAAGUAUAGUACUGCUACUAUUUCUUCCAACUUUUCCUGAAGACUUUAGAUCCUAUCAACUAUGAAGAGCACACAAAAAAAAGUUCAGUCUUAACUAAACUGGUGCCUGGCAACUGAGUUGGCGGAAAAGUUCUCAUAGCAAAACACUUAGGAAUCUACUAUUCAAGAAGUGCGAUACAACCACUACAGUAGUCACGAACUGACCAGUCAACCACACAUCUCAUUUGGAACCCGAAGUACACAAUGAGGCAGCAGCAAAGAUGAAAAAAAAACCACCAAAGAAAGUGUGUUAAACGUAAAGUACUAAAAAAAUAAAGGGAAAGUUUAAAAAAAGAUUUGAAAAGGCCAAAUGGGUAAGUGCACAGUGUUCCACAAGAUUACACAACCAAAGACUAUGAGCACAAUUCUCAAUUGCACUUCAACUUCCACCAAGUGGCAGAAAGUGAAAUUCCCCCACCAUUAUGGAGAGGAUAAAUGAGGGUGAGGGAGCACACAGCUGGGCACAAUUAAGGGUUGCUUGAUUCUGUUCUUCAUAGGCCAUGGCAACAACAGCCAGGAUCAAAUUAAUCAGAUAGAAAGAACCCA